UCAGUUGGGCACUCUAAGGGGACUGCCGGUGAUAAGCCGAGAGGAAGGUGGGGAUGACGUCAAGUCCUCAUGGCCCUUACGGGCUGGGCUACACACGUGCUACAAUGGCGGUGACAGUGGGCAGCGAACUCGCGAGAGGGAGCUAAUCUCCAAAAGCCGUCUCAGUUCGGAUUGUUCUCUGCAACUCGAGAGCAUGAAGUUGGAAUCGCUAGUAA
rnacentral:rRNA from 1 species